ACCACCUUUUGUUGAAACUUGAGUUAUGAAUGAACCUUACCAUACUGAUGCUUUCUGACUGAGCUCCUUUUUACCCUGAAUGCAAGAGACCCUCAUAGGCAGGCAGGAAUAUCAUUGCCCUAUUUAGCCUGAAGAAGUUAUAGAAGAUGGAUCUUCGUCCCUCUGCAACCCUUAGGAUUAAGGGUUCUCUUAGACGGGGGGAAAUGUCAGAGGCGUAUGAACCAGAGCAACUCCAUCUUAAACAGGCUGGGUAAAAUGAGGCUAAAACCUACUGGCCUGCAUUCCCAGAUGAUUAAGGCAUUCUAAGUCACGGGAUGAGAUAGGAGGUCAGCACAAAAUACAGGUCAUAAAGACCUUGAUGAUAAAACAGUUGCAGUAAAGGAGCCGG
rnacentral:lncRNA from 1 species